rnacentral:rRNA from 1 species
UCUUUAUAAUAACUGUUUACUUAGAGUUUAAAUAUUUAGUUAAGGGGACAGUAAGAGAGAUGCUUAUUAUGUUGGGGUGAUGUUAAUAUAUAAUAAACUGUUAAAUGUUAUAACAAAUAUAUUUGAAGCAGUAAUAGAUCUUGUUUAGAAAUUUAAAGUAUAAGUU